rnacentral:hammerhead_ribozyme from 1 species
AUUCGGCUAACGAGUCCCAAAUAGGACGAAGUGGCGCGCGUUCUGGAU